rnacentral:lncRNA from 1 species
AGCUAAGAGCUCAUUUAAGGGAUGGCUUUGCAGAGGGRCUGAUCGGUCUGUUCCCUGUUUCACGCAGACAGCAUGCCCUUGUGCCUCUUUUCGAAACUGGAAGAACAGCCGGACUACUCAGAUCUGUUUGCAUUUCCUGCUGAGUUUCUGCAGUGCUGCACAGACGGUGGCCCUGAGCAGCCCCCUGCCGAGCUGGAUCUGUCACCCAAAACAUUUGCAGAGGGCAUGCAUCAUGGAAGAGAGAGCCCUGUGGCACAGCUCGUGGAGCUCGGGAGAAGGAGAUCUUCUGGGAAGUCUGUGCUGGGCAAGAGUAGCACAGCAAAUCUGGUGCCUCAGGGUGUUGAAGAGCACAAGCAGCCUUUGACAAGAAAAGGGAGCUGGGACAACAUAUACUCCAGGCGCGCUGUGAGCAGGGAGGAUGGUACAUGGGCACUGUGCUACAUCCAGGAAGUCCAGUAUCCGGGCAGAGCAGUUCCACUAGCCAAAGAGGAAUUUGAAGAUGACCCUUCCUACAAACCACCGCCACCACCGCCUCCUCCUUCUCCUUCUCCUUGCCUACCGGAGGACUCUAAUGAGGUUUCUUCAGAGAGAACAUCCCCUGCCUUUGAAGGGCUCAGCAGUCAGGACAGUCUUAUCCGUUAACCCUUCAUCAAACAACGGCUGAGGGAACCUGUCCUGGCACUGGCCCACUCCUAUCUCAGCUCCUGUCUCACCUUGUGUUUGGGGCCCCCUCCACCGUGUUUCCCUUGCCAGCCACAGGGCAGGUGAGGGAAGCAGCCGGGCACUUUCUACAGUCUCUAAACGUUCAGGACAGGUAAAAAUCUCUGAGAUCUGAAAAUAAAAGAAGAGCUUCUC